rnacentral:rRNA from 1 species
GGGUUGUGAGGUUAAGCGACUAAGCGUACACGGUGGAUGCCCUGGCAGUCAGAGGCGAUGAAGGACGUGCUAAUCUGCGAUAAGCGUCGGUAAGGUGAUAUGAACCGUUAUAACCGGCGAUUUCCGAAUGGGGAAACCCAGUGUGAUUCGUCACACUAUCAUUAACUGAAUCCAUAGGUUAAUGAGGCGAACCGGGGGAACUGAAACAUCUAAGUACCCCGAGGAAAAGAAAUCAACCGAGAUUCCCCCAGUAGCGGCGAGCGAACGGGGAGCAGCCCAGAGCCUGAAUCAGUGUGUGUGUUAGUGGAAGCGUCUGGAAAGGCGCGCGAUACAGGGUGACAGCCCCGUACACAAAAAUGCACAUGCUGUGAGCUCGAUGAGUAGGGCGGGACACGUGGUAUCCUGUCUGAAUAUGGGGGGACCAUCCUCCAAGGCUAAAUACUCCUGACUGACCGAUAGUGAACCAGUACCGUGAGGGAAAGGCGAAAAGAACCCCGGCGAGGGGAGUGAAAAAGAACCUGAAACCGUGUACGUACAAGCAGUGGGAGCACGCUUAGGCGUGUGACUGCGUACCUUUUGUAUAAUGGGUCAGCGACUUAUAUUCUGUAGCAAGGUUAACCGAAUAGGGGAGCCGAAGGGAAACCGAGUCUUAACUGGGCGUUAAGUUGCAGGGUAUAGACCCGAAACCCGGUGAUCUAGCCAUGGGCAGGUUGAAGGUUGGGUAACACUAACUGGAGGACCGAACCGACUAAUGUUGAAAAAUUAGCGGAUGACUUGUGGCUGGGGGUGAAAGGCCAAUCAAACCGGGAGAUAGCUGGUUCUCCCCGAAAGCUAUUUAGGUAGCGCCUCGUGAAUUCAUCUCCGGGGGUAGAGCACUGUUUCGGCAAGGGGGUCAUCCCGACUUACCAACCCGAUGCAAACUGCGAAUACCGGAGAAUGUUAUCACGGGAGACACACGGCGGGUGCUAACGUCCGUCGUGAAGAGGGAAACAACCCAGACCGCCAGCUAAGGUCCCAAAGUCAUGGUUAAGUGGGAAACGAUGUGGGAAGGCCCAGACAGCCAGGAUGUUGGCUUAGAAGCAGCCAUCAUUUAAAGAAAGCGUAAUAGCUCACUGGUCGAGUCGGCCUGCGCGGAAGAUGUAACGGGGCUAAACCAUGCACCGAAGCUGCGGCAGCGACGCU